UGGAGUGAUUUGUCUGGUUAAUUCCGUUAACGAACGAGACCACAGCCUACUAAAUAGUACGUGUUAUGGUAACAUAGUAUGAGACUUCGUAGAGGGACAUUUCGGGUUUACCGAAAGGAAGUUUGUGGCAAUAACAGGUCUGUGAUGCCUUAGACGUUCUGGGCCGCACGCGCGCUACACUGACGACUUCAACAAGUUUUUUUCUUUGAAAAAGUCCUUGGCUGGAAAGUCUGGGUAAUCUUUUAAACGGUCGUCGCGAUGGGGCUAGAUUCUUGCAAUUAUUAAUCUCCAACGAGGAACC
rnacentral:rRNA from 1 species